GAUGAACGCUGGCGGCGUGCCUAAUACAUGCAAGUCGAGCGAACGGACGAGAAGCUUGCUUCUCUGAUGUUAGCGGCGGACGGGUGAGUAACACGUGGAUAACCUACCUAUAAGACUGGGAUAACUUCGGGAAACCGGAGCUAAUACCGGAUAAUAUUUUGAACCGCAUGGUUCAAAAGUGAAAGACGGUCUUGCUGUCACUUAUAGAUGGAUCCGCGCUGCAGUAGCUAGUUGGUAAGGUAACGGCUUACCAAGGCAACGAUGCAUAGCCGACCUGAGAGGGUGAUCGGCCACACUGGAACUGAGACACGGUCCAGACUCCUACGGGAGGCAGCAGUAGGGAAUCUUCCGCAAUGGGCGAAAGCCUGACGGAGCAACGCCGCGUGAGUGAUGAAGGUCUUCGGAUCGUAAAACUCUGUUAUUAGGGAAGAACAUAUGUGUAAGUAACUGUGCACAUCUUGACGGUACCUAAUCAGAAAGCCACGGCUAACUACGUG
rnacentral:rRNA from 1 species